GAAAAAGGAAUUCAGGGUGGAAGCCUACCCGAGUUUCAUUCCCUUCAUAGAUAGAAAAAAAUUAACUUCGCAUCCAUAUAUUUUUGCUCCUGUUUGCCACUCGGGGCAUUGGUGGUUAUGGCUGAUAAAUACAACAAAGCGGAAAUGUCAAAUACUUGACCCGCUACACAAAAAAGCUCCAAGCGAUGAGAGAAAUGACAUUAAUAAAUUCACUGUAAGUUGUCUCUGUCUUCUUUACUUUAAUAGAUAGGUCUAUUUCGUUAGUUGUGUUGGGUGUAUAUUGUCCAUUCAGUUGGGUGUAUCUUGUCCAUUCAUUCGGGUGUAUUACUGAUUUGUUUUGGUAUUUAAGGGAUAUGUAUUUUCAAGAUUGAUAACAUAUGCCGGCAGGGAACCUCUGGAGAAAGGGGAGAACGAGAAGAAAAUUAAAGCAUCAUAUGUUAAAAUAUCAGGCCAAAAAACAAGCUAUGACUGCGCUAUCUACGUUAUGAAGUGGCUUGAGUUAAUUGAGCCGGAAAACAUAAAAAAGGG